GACGAACGCUGGCGGCGUGCCUAAUACAUGCAAGUUGAGCGAUGAAGAUUGGUGCUUGCACCAAUUUGAAGAGCAGCGAACGGGUGAGUAACGCGUGGGGAAUCUGCCUUUGAGCGGGGGACAACAUUUGGAAACGAAUGCUAAUACCGCAUAACAACUUUAAACAUAAGUUUUAAGUUUGAAAGAUGCAAUUGCAUCACUCAAAGAUGAUCCCGCGUUGUAUUAGCUAGUUGGUGAGGUAAAGGCUCACCAAGGCGAUGAUACAUAGCCGACCUGAGAGGGUGAUCGGCCACAUUGGGACUGAGACACGGCCCAAACUCCUACGGGAGGCAGCAGUAGGGAAUCUUCGGCAAUGGACCAAAGUCUGACCGAGCAACGCCGCGUGAGUGAAGAAGGUUGUCGGAUCGUAAAACUCUGUUGGUAGAGAAGAACGUUGGUGAGAGUGGAAAGCUCAUCAAGUGACGGUAACUACCCAGAAAGGGACGGCUAACUACGUG
rnacentral:rRNA from 1 species